CCUACGGGAGGCUGCAGUGGGGAAUAUUGGACAAUGGGGGGAACCCUGAUCCAGCGACGCCGCGUGAGUGAAGAAGUAUUUCGGUAUGUAAAGCUCUAUCAGCAGGGAAGAAAGAAAUGACGGUACCUGACUAAGAAGCCCCGGCUAACUACGUGCCAGCAGCCGCGGGAAUACGUAGGGGGCAAGCGUUAGCCGGAUUUACUGGGUGUAAAGGGAGCGUAGACGGCGAUGCAAGUCUGAAGUGAAAGGCGGGGGCCCAACCCCUGGACUGCUUUGGAAACUGUAUGGCUGGAGUGCAGGAGAGGUAAGUGGAAUUCCUAGUGUAGCGGUGAAAUGCGUAGAUAUUAGGAGGAACACCAGUGGCGAAGGCGGCUUACUGGACUGUAACUGACGUUGAGGCUCGAAAGCGUGGGGAGCAAACAGGAUUAGAUACCCCGGUAGUC
rnacentral:rRNA from 1 species